AUUGAACGCUAGCGGGAUGCUUUACACAUGCAAGUCGAACGGCGUGGCGGACGGGUGAGUAAUCUAUCGGAACGUGCCCAGUAGCGGGGGAUAACUACUCGAAAGAGUGGCUAAUAACGCAUACUAUUUGAGCGUCCGAUUUCGGAUUAGCUAGUUGGUGGGGUAACGGCUCACCAAGGCAACGAUCCGUAGCUGGUUUGAGAGGAUGAACAGCCACACUGGGACGGAGGAACGGCCCAGACUCCUACGGGAGGCAGCAUUGGGGAAUUUUGGACAAUGGGGUAAACCCUGAUCCAGCCACCCCGCGUGUAUGAUGAAGGCCUUCGGGUUGUAAAGUACUUUUGGCAGAGAAGCGGUAUCUGCAGAAUAAGCACAGGCUAACUACGUGCCAGCAGCCGCGGUAAUAC
rnacentral:rRNA from 1 species